CCUGCGCAGACACACUGGCGAGCGCCCCUUCAAGUGCCGCCUGUGCCCGGGCACAUUCAUAACGAGUUCCAACCUGACACAGCAUAUGCGCAGCCAUACAGGCGAGCGCCCCUACCAGUGCCACGUCUGCCCGAGCACAUUCACAACAAGUUCCAACCUGGCACAGCAUCUGCGCAGCCACGCAGGAGAUUGUUUCUUUUUUUGUGUCCACUGCGAUGCAUCCUUUUUGAGGAAGGACCACCUCGCCAUCCACAUGUCCUCUCAUACAGGAGAGAAUCCCUGAAGUGAAGCUGGUCUAGCUAACCGUAAAAAGUCGCACCUGCUGUCGCAAAACCUUGCCGAGCUAUGACAGUCACUGCAUUGCCUAGCAACCACCUCACGGAGCGGCGUGUGCCUCGCCUCCUCUCCUUGCCAUGCACAUGUUGCCUUGUCAUGGGACGUUAAGGAGAGGGAAGGAGAGCAUGUGCGCGGCGUGCGCAAUGCUUGGGAGAGGGAAAGAGAAAACGAGAGCGAGAUGGAGAGAGAAACAAAUUGUAGCAGCACCAACAAGGCAACGCGCAGAGCUGCCCGCGUUGCCUAGCCGCGCAUGCGCCGAAGAAGUAGCGAUAACGUCACCUCGCUUUGCCUAGUAACCGCCGGCGCAGGUCCACGCUCGCGUCGCCCGACACAGACACGGCUCCUGCCUGCCUGCGUUUGUGGCAUGCCAGGAACGCUGUCGCUCGUAGGCGCCGACGCAUCCAGUGCUAGUCACGCGAAAUGUCGCGAAAGGGAAGGUACCUUCGAAAAUAAUUGCUCAAGAAUACCUUCCCUACAUGCAUAGUUAAGUUAAACCAAGUUAGGACCUAGCAGCAACCAAGUUAAUACCUAGCAGUAGCAGCCAGUAAGACUUGAAGAUUGACACUUUCGCUGUGCCUAAACUUUGCACAAGCGAAUGCAAACUUGCCAGCUUUUUUGUUCUUUUCGUACAAAAGAGUAUGUCUUUACAGACAUGACUGACUUUAAAGGGACACUAAAGAGAAAAAUUAUUUCAUCUGUAUCAGUAGAUUACCCUUCCACAAUACAGAAAGCGCCACUCUUACCACGAGAAGCUGCUUGGUAAGCCAGAAAGAAACGAAAAACACAGAAGGCGAGUGGCAACACCACCUUGAAGUUCCCGCACCAGCUCACCGUGACGUCAUGGAAUAUGACAGUGUCUUCUAGGUCUCGGCUAAUUCUUUAGCAGUAAAGAUUGACUACAUUUUGUUCUAAAGGCACCCAAGACUGAAUAUGGCAAGUUUCGCGAGUUUUUACUGAGCCAACGUGGCCCGAUUAUGAAAAAUUACUUUACAAGUUGUGACGUCACACUGAAGUGCUGACGUUGGGGUUUCCACACGAAAUUCAAAAAAUUUAACUUUGGGCUUCAUUUUCUCUUCUAAUAAUUGAGCUAUUGCGGUGUAAUUAACAACAGCAGAGUUUUCAAAGAAUACUCUAUCAGUCUAAGUUGAUUUAUUGUUUUGCUUUAGUGUCCUUUUAAGAAAGAAAGCGAUGGAAAGCAUGUCAGCGUUUUUGUGCACAUUAUGUAGAAUGUUGCCGAGAUUAUGUGCCGACUAUCAUCUGGCAAGACAACACUCCCACCUGUGUGUGGCUCUGACCUUUCAUUCAUGAUUUAAAAAUAUGCUAGAAAAUGGAAAAAGAAGGACCCAGCAGUCCUGUGCAAUCUACACAGCCAGGACCAAUUUUGAGCAUUGCUUCUGUAAACAUUUAUUUUAGUCAUAUGGCUGGUGUUCAGAAAGGUUGUUGACUGUGGGCUGCGUAGUCUGUGCAAUGUUUCCCCCCUCACUUUGACUUAAUUCGGUUUACUUGCUUUCUGUGUGUGGAGAACUUGAUGCGCCAGAUGAAGCACACGGCUUGUCAAGGCAAGAAAAUGUCACUGGCAACAUUUUUUCUUUUUUUUUUUCUUGCUUCUUGCUCGCUUUACAUUUUGCAUGCAGUCCCACAAUUAUGAUGUUCCUCACUCCACAUUUCUGCUACUGUCAACUAACCUGCCAUCUAGUGAGCACAGCAGGAGGCUCUGGAAUGCAGUUUUGCUAUAGUUUUACGGGUUGCACUUGAAGCAGCUGACAUAUCUCUGCAGUAGGUCACUUGGCUCUAGUGCUUGCUUUGCAGUUCCAGAGCUUGUGUUUGCUUCUCUAAAAUGGUAGUGUUAUCUUUAACAUUUGAUGACGUUAGUGCGGCUUGUAUUCUCCUGGACAUGUUACCACUUUGCACAUUACUGGUACUCACUGGUAUUCAUUAGCGUGAUACUGUAUAGUCAUUAGUGUGAAGACUGCACAUUAUCUGACUUCAAGCAUAGUUCCCUUCUAGACUGCAUAUGAAUUCAUAAUUGUGUAUUUUAUUCUUUGAGCUGCAUUUGUUUUACGCUUUGAACAUUACUGGAACUCAAUAGUUAUCUUUAUACUCAAUUUCGCAUUUAGCAGGCAGUACUGCAGAAGCUAUGAAAGUAGUGCAUUUGUAAAAGUAUCACUCCACGCAUUUUGCAAAGCAGUUUUUGGUGAUCUGUGAAGCUUUUUACGGAAUAACUGCUUCUUAUCCUAAACCUGCAAUUUGUGGAAGUCAGGUUGCAUCAAAUCAUGUUAUUUAUACGCCUGUGUGCUUCCAAUAUGCGACAUGCUCUGUUUUUUUAUUGCAAGCCCUAAUCCUUACAGCCCCCACCCAGAACCCCUCUGGUUCUGGUUGCUAAUUGUGCUGAGGCCGCUAGUCGCAGGUGUCCCUCCACUCAUUUGGUGGUAAUUACUUUCAGAUCUGUAAUGCAUGCAAUAGUUACGUCAUCAAAAUAUGAGACUUAAUGCCACAUCAAAAUUACAUGAUGCAUACCAAUAUCUUUCUUUCAUGUUACGCACUAAUUUUUGGUCACAAGUCCAGGCUCUGAGAGACGGCUCUAGCAAUUGCAGCAUUGUUGCCUGCGUGUAAAAUCUGAGUACCUAUAGUUUACAUAGAACUACUCGUUUCUUUUUUUAUUGUUUGAAAAGCCACCAUUUUUUAACACUGUUUUUGUGCAUAUGUUGUUUUCAGUCUUGUUAUAUGAAGAUACCAUGCUUGUUUGAUUCUUAUGGUGUGUUUGUAGCAUCAUAUGCUUCAUUCCAUUCGCUAUUGUACAGCUUUGUCAUUUUAUCAGAAAUGAACCUGUCUGUGUGAUUUCUAUAACAUAUCUGUUAGUACAUUUUGGCGGGUCAUUAUGUGGCUUUAGGUUGUGAGUGGGUGUGCUCUUGCUAUCAAACUAUGAGUGCCGAUGUGAACAAAUACACUGGGUUUAAUAACAACCAUCCUGGUAGCAGCUGAUGAUGGAACUAGGUGGGAGAUAUAUGUGCAUCCUCUAGCAGGUUGCAAAGAGAGAACAUGUGCCUGUACAUUGUGAAUAAAGUAUGUGCAAUGAUG